rnacentral:rRNA from 1 species
UACGUAGGGGGCAAGCGUUGUCCGGAAUCAUUGGGCGUAAAGCGCGUGUAGGCGGCCCGGUAAGUCCGCUGUGAAAGUCGGGGGCUCAACCCUCGAAUGCCGGUGGAUACUGUCGGGCUAGAGUGCGGAAGAGGCGUGUGGAAUUCCGGGUGUAGUGGUGAAAUGCGCAGAUAUCAGGAGGAACACCAACGGCGAAGGCAGCUCGCUGGGACGGUACUGACGCUAAGGCGCGAAAGCGUGGGGAGCGAACAGG